CAUUCUCCCAGUUUCCUGCAGCCAUGGCUGGUCAACACACAACCAGACUCCUCUUCGUCUUCACCUCAGUCUCUGUGUGCUUCGUCCUCUUCACCCAAGCUGAAGCCUGCAUCACCGCAGAGAUCAGGGUCGAGCGCGUGGUUUGGUCCACCUCUUUCAACCUCAGCUGUGCACGCUUAACAGGAAUGGAGCGCAUUGUGACCCUAGACAAGGAGAAACAGCACGUCCAUAACCUUACCAUCCUGGAACAGGAGAUUGCUGUGGAGGUGAACGAAAACCUGCGUCUGCUGGUGGAAGGAGACAGGGUCGUGUACGAGUUCAAACAGGUGACAGAGCGGGAGGCGGGGGUGUACACCUGUGAGCUGCAGAGGAACUACCCCCCACCUUUCAAGAAGGAGGUCCGCAUGUCUGCUCUUUUUACAGAACCCCUACAACGACUGACUCUGGAGCCCGGUCCCCCUCGGCUGAAUGCGUCCAAGGAGGAGCACCAGACGAGCCCCGUGCCCUCAGAGGUCUGCCCGCCUCCCGUGGGCCUCUGGUCGGUCUGUAUAGGGGUGUCCAUGCUCUGUGCCGUGGCCAUCGUCAUCGCCCUGGUGCUGGGGCACAAACUGUACAGGAACGCCAGACAGAGCACGAGUACAUCAACACUAGACCAGCAGAGUCCAAACGGCCAAGGGGGGUGCAGCACCCAAAAUGGCCAGGCAAGUUCUGAACCCCCCCCCCCUCAAAAAAAGGACGAUAACACACCAAGUGAACUCUGAGAAGAGACUCCAAACACAAGGCCCAAAAGUAUUAUUUUUUUUUCCAUUUCCAAAGUCCACUUUUCAACCUGAUGUGAAAACAAAUAUUCAGCUUUGUUUUGUCACAUUCCUGCUCAGUGUCAGCUAUAAUUGGUUGUCUCUUCAUCUGGAAACAUAGAUGUCAUCUUCACCCCUUGAUGUGCAUAUUAUAGACUGACUCUUUGCCUUCACAGUCAUAUUUGGUACUUGCCUUGAUAUGUAGACUACUUGUUAAUACCAAUAAAGAAUUACAGUUUUUUACA
rnacentral:lncRNA from 1 species